rnacentral:lncRNA from 1 species
AAUUAUUUUUCAGUCUCCCAAAGCAAUUCUAAAUAGACCGAUAUAAAGCAAUUCCAAAUAGGCGGCUAUAAGGAUUGAAAUCCUCUUUCCACUGAGUCAAGGUGCAACAUUUAAUCUUUGAUUUUUUGAAGAGGAUUGGGAAAGUGAUUUUCAAUAGGUUUAUCCUCAAUUUAACUGUCUCCUCACCCAAAUCCUACUCACCAACGUUCCUUUGACUAAGUUAAUGACAAGACGAGCAUAAUAAGGCUUUAUAUAUAGGCUCUUCUCCAACUACAACUAAACGACACCAAAAGGGGGGGAAAAAGGUUAAACCAAAUAGCCUUUUUGAAGACCAUAUUAUAUAUGUGAUGUGAAACGAUUUUUAGAAUUGGAAAUAAAUUGACAAAACACAUAAACUGGGAAUGGAAAUGCGAAAAUCCAUCUUCUAUCAUGAAAAUUUAUAUUAGUUCAAUUUAUUUUAUUCUACUUGAACCAAGAGAGUGUUUAAUCUCUUGAGUUGUUUCAUUUUUAAUUAAUUAUCCAAUAUAUUUUAAAUCUAACUAUAAAUAUCAGAGGGUUUUUAUUGGCACCUCUAUUUGGCACUGGUGAAUCCUUGAAUAGUUUCUUUAGUUUUUAAGUUAAAGAUUUAAAGUUCACAUUGGCAUUCGAGUUCAGUUUGUGUCGAUUUCUCAAUAAAAAUAAAUUCAGCUGUUAAAAUCAUUUUUUUACAUCAACAUAAUAUACAGAGAGUUAACAAUAAUUUGCAUUUAAAAUAUAUACCAAAAUCCUCCUUAGUGUAAAAUUACAACGGCAUGAAAUCACAAUAGAAAUGUGAUUAAGAAAGGUCAAUAGCUAUUCUAUUCAAGUGAAGAGAGAGAAACUUGUCAUUUAAGCUUAACUUCAUUAAUGGUCCUAAAGCAAAUUGAUUCCCAUGAGUGCUUUCUAGCAUUGGCCUUGAAAAAACAUGAUUUUGGUUUUAACACAAACACAAUAAAUCAAAGACCGGUGCUAGUAGCGCCCCUCUAGAAUCUUUGUAAAACCACCCCGAUUCUAUAUAUUGACAUUUUCACGCCUACGAAUUGGAGUACAGAAUGGUAAGCACCUCCUUUUUUUCUAUUUAGAUUUUCUUUCGAUUAAAGAAAGGAGAAAGCACUGCGUAGAUGUCCUUUCAAGAGGCUUCUUCACUAGCAAAUAAUAAACACUAAUUGAACAGAAUUUCAAUCUAGAGUCUAACUGUCUAAGCUUUUUUUUUUAAAAAAAAAAAAGAAAAAAAAAUUGAAGAACAAUCGACCAAGAUACAAAGGCACCAAGAAAUAGACAAGGUAGAGAUGAUAAAAUUCAGGUCCGGGUCUGGAUUAAGAUUCUUAUAUCCGGAUCCGUAAAAAAUAUGUGGAUAUGGAUGCAGGUAAUAUCCGCAUAGAUUGGGGUAGAUAUUUAGAAUAUUUGAAUCCGUAAAAAUUAAAAUUUAAUAAUUUAAAAUAUAAUUUAAAAUUCAACAAUUUACCUAAUAAAAUCCAAUCAUAAUUCAGCAAUCAACAAUUUAAACCGAGAGUAAUAUACAACACCACAAAGUCACAAAUAAAAAUACACAAUAUAAAUCAAACAUUAAGAAUAACAUAAAUCCAAGUCUAGCAUAACUACAAAUCCACAAAUAAAAUUAUAAAAACACCACAAAUCCACAUUAAUGGAUCCCAAUAUAUUUCUUAAUUUAAUUUAAUUUUUAUAUUUUUAAUUAAUCCUGUUAUGUUUUUUAUUUACUUAUAUAUUUUUUCAUUUAAUUUUAAUUUAACAAAUAAUUUCAGUAAAACAAAUCAUGCGGAUCUAGAUAUCCAAUGGGGUAUACUUAAUAAAUAGGUUUUAUAAGGACUUCAAAUUGGUGUUAGAAACCCCACACUGAAUUGCACUCAUGUCACCCAAGAAACACAGCGCAGGCCCAGACCCAUUGGCUCUUGUCUUAGAAUCGCUUUGUACAACAAUUUUCUUGCCCUCUCAUCCAUUGAGUAAUAAUAUAAUUAUAAAUUCUUGUAUAAAUUUUUUUUUUCACAAACUGAUGUGGCAUGAAUUAAUUGCUUAGAUUAGAUAUCUCUUAGUCUACUUGUUUUGUUUUUAUUAUUUUUUAUUUUUAUUCAAUCAACAAGUUAAUACCAAAUUAAUUUGUAUAAAAUAAGUUUAUAUAAGAAUUUGUGACUAUAUCAUUACUCUCCAUCCGUUACAUAUUCAAAAAUAUACACUAUUAUUACUAUUAUUUUUUUUUCUUUAAAAAAAAGGUUUAUUUCUUUAGACAAUUCAAUUUGAGGAUGGGACUUAACCAUGAUCAUUUUAUUUACUACAUGCUAAGAAUUUGAUCAUCAGCGAAGUAAGCUCUUUUGGGGGACCCUUUUUCUUGUCAGCUGUCACAACAGUUGGCCGUUAAGGUCCUGAACUGUUAAAGCUUGCUUAGCAUGUUGGAAGAUGAAAUAUAAAAUUUGUAUUCCAACUGAUUUUGUCAUAUAUGAUGUGAUAUAUUAAGUAAUUAUUUAUUUUAUUGUGAAUACGGUCACACGUGACGAGGCAUGUGAAUACUAUUUUAGUUAGGAAUCAAAGUUUUUAUCCGAACUUCAUUAGUGUAGCAUUACUUAAUUAAGGACAUGUUCAUGAAAAUAAAUUUUAAAAAAUUAAUAAUCAUUAAUAUAAAUUGUAAAUAGAUCUCUAAUAUUAUCAGAACAUGCUCAAUAACCAUUUAUUAUUAAUAUAAAUUAAUACUUUAUUAUUUUAUAGGAUAAUAUUGAAGUACACGUUAUCAAGUUUAUAUUUUUAAUUUCUACAAAAUAAUUAUUUUUACGAACGAGUAGUUUAUAACUGUAUCAUUAAGUAUUUACACUAAAAUUCUAAGUACUGAUGUCCAAUUUAUUGACAUAAAUAAAGAAAAUUUAGAGGGAAAAAAAGGGGAAAAUAAAAAGAAAAAGUUUCGCUAUUGUUGUCCAAGUAAUGUGCGCUGCAUGGACGCAUUACACGUAAGCAGCAAAUGGUGAUAAUGGCAUCCACGUCAGCGAGUAGCGGCAGUCCACGUGGCACACAUCAGAUGUUCCACUUAGGCACUUAUUUAACGGAUACGCGGGCCCAAAUGUGGGUUGGGAAUCACGUGCUUCUCAUCCCCAUGCAAUAGUAAUGCCAAAGAGAUUCCCAAGCACAUAUCUGAAUCCGUUAUCUAACGGACCACUCACAAAAUUACAUUCGUCAUUUCUGUUUGGCUAGAUCACAGUUUCUUAUUUAUGAGAAAACUGAGGUGAGAUUAUCAAGAAUCUGCAAAUUUUUUAAAAAAUAAAAUUAUUUUAUUGACAGGCCCCAGUACAGACUCGUACCUUCCUAACAAGACAAGUUUAUCCCCAUCCUUGGCUCGCUCGACGCGCUAAAGCCUCAUAAAAUGUUGGGGAUAUUUUCGGUAAAAAGUGAAAAGAGUAUUCUUCAUUUUUUUUCUUAAAAAAAAAAGGUUGGCAACCAAGGCAACUUGUGUUGGUGCCCGGAUUACAACGAUGUCGUUUCCUAGGUAAAUCAGGAUAGAACCAACUUUACCAUAAUAUUCUAUAAGAUAGAAUUAAAAAAUUGUGCAACAUAAAAAAUUAUAGAAUAUAUCACAAGUAUUUACACCCAAUUAAUAUAUGUAUGUCAUAUAUACAUUUAUUUUGAAAAAUUAUCAUAUAAUUUUAGUUACCUUUAAUCGAAUCACACAUAGUAUACCUAUAUUAAUUGGAUAUAAUAUUCCUAAUGUACAUGCACUCUAGAAUUUCUCAUUCGAUGACAGCUAAAACAAUUAAGCACAUAUUCCUAUUGAUAUAAAUACUAAUGAACUAACGUAAUCUUACAUUAUAUUAUAGGGUUCGCCUAAGUUACAUUUAGCGUAACUUACGGCUGACCCCCACAAUAUCAAUUAGCCCCAUAUACUCUAUAGUAUUUACAAUUUAUUCAUAAGAAUUAUAAAACUUUUUAUCCUGUAAAAUUUCGUUGAACCUCUUAUACUCUGUUUUAUUU